GGAUGUGAGAGCAACCUGGCUGCGACAGCUGUCACCCCACUGAUGGCCAGGGCUGGUUUGGCUGGUCUGGCCAGCAGGUGGGUGUCCCCUUCCUGCCUCACUGCUCCACGUGCAACCCCCCCCAAAGGUGGGCUUUCGGUGGGAGAGGAUCACCUUCCCGGACAGAGGAGGACUGUUAUUUGGUCAUAGGUGUAGGAGUAGCUGUGCUGCCCUGCUAGAACCUCCAAACGAGCUCUCAAAGACUGAUUUCUAUAGAAGCGAUAUAAAAUGAAACCUUGAAAUUAUAUCACGACAUGUGUUGGCUUUUAUA
ensembl:misc_RNA 7SK 7SK RNA